rnacentral:hammerhead_ribozyme from 1 species
GCAUUAUUGAAGAGUCCCACAGUAGGACGAAACGGUCGUCCAGUGC